AUGAUCUUACUUGAACAGGAUCUGUUCUAUAGGCUUGGACUUCUGUAUCCUUGAGUUCUAAUGAGACAGGAACUAAAGUGUGGUUGAUGAGGCAAAGCCCGUGUGAUCAGAGCUUGAUUAACAGUUCUGUUGAGUUUGGCUAAAAAACCAUCAAGCAGUAGUGGAUCGUUCCCAUGGUUGGGAUUCCAAUCCUGGGGUGGUCGCACGGUUGUCUGACAGACU